rnacentral:rRNA from 1 species
CUCCUACGGGAGGCAGCAGUGGGGAAUAUUGGACAAUGGGCGCAAGCCUGAUCCAGCCAUGCCGCGUGAGUGAUGAAGGCCCUAGGGUUGUAAAGCUCUUUCACCGGUGAAGAUAAUGACGGUAACCGGAGAAGAAGCCCCGGCUAACUUCGUGCCAGCAGCCGCGGUAAUA